CCUACGGGUGGCAGCAGUGGGGAAUAUUGGACAAUGGGCGAAAGCCUGAUCCAGCCAUUCCGCGUGUGUGAAGAAGGCCUUCGGGUUGUAAAGCACUUUCAGUGGGGAAGAAAGCCUUGGGGCUAAUACCCUCGAGGAAGGACAUCACCCACAGAAGAAGCACCGGCUAACUCCGUGCCAGCAGCCGCGGUAAUACGGAGGGUGCGAGCGUUAAUCGGAAUUACUGGGCGUAAAGCGCGCGUAGGCGGUCUGAUAAGCCGGUUGUGAAAGCCCCGGGCUCAACCUGGGAACGGCAUCCGGAACUGUCAGGCUAGAGUGCAGGAGAGGAAGGUAGAAUUCCCGGUGUAGCGGUGAAAUGCGUAGAGAUCGGGAGGAAUACCAGUGGCGAAGGCGGCCUUCUGGACUGACACUGACGCUGAGGUGCGAAAGCGUGGGUAGCAAACAGGAUUAGAUACCCCAGUAGUC
rnacentral:rRNA from 1 species